rnacentral:rRNA from 1 species
GGCGGACGGGUGAGUAACGCGUAGGCAAUCUGCCUUCUAGAUGGGGACAACAUCCCGAAAGGAAUGCUAAUACCGCAUACGUCCUACGGGAGAAAGCAGGGGAUCUUCGGACCUUGCGCUAAAUGAUGAGCCUAAGUCGGAUUAGCUAGUUGGUGGGGUAAAGGCCUACCAAGGCGACGAUCUGUAGCGGGUCUGAGAGGAUGAUCCGCCACACUGGGACUGAGACACGGCCCAGACUCCUACGGGAGGCAGCAGUGGGGAAUAUUGGACAAUGGGCGGAAGCCUGAUCCAGCCAUGCCGCGUGUGUGAAGAAGGCCUUUUGGUUGUAAAGCACUUUAAGCGAGGAGGAGGCUACUAGUACUAAUACUACUGGAUAGUGGACGUUACUCGCAGAAUAAGCACCGGCUAACUCUGUGCCAGCAGCCGCGGUAAU